CCCCCCCCCCCCCCCCCCCCCCCUUGGUGUGAGUAAAGUCAGGAGUGAGAUUGAUGUGGGAAAUGUGAGGAGUGGGAUUGGUGUGAGGAACAGGGACAUCGGGGGUGAGGAGUGGGAUUGGUGUGGGAAAAGUGAGGAAUGGGAUUGGUGUGGGCAAAGGAGAUUGAGGGUGUCAGGAGAGGGACUGAUGUGGGGAAAGAAGAUUGGGAAUGUGAGGAGUGGGAUUGGUGUGGGGAUGGAGAUUGGGAACGUGAGGAGUGGGAUUGGUGUGAGUAAAGUCAGGAGUGAGAUUGAUGUGGGAAAUGUGAGGAGUGGGAUUGGUGUGAGGAACAGGGACAUCGGGGGUGAGGAGUGGGAUUGGUGUGGGAAAAGUGAGGAAUGGGAUUGGUGUGGGCAAAGGAGAUUGAGGGUGUCAGGAGAGGGACUGAUGUGGGGAAAGAAGAUUGGGAAUGUGAGGAGUGGGAUUGGUGUGAGGAAAAGGGAGAUUGAGGAAAGUGAGGAAUGGGGUUGGUGUGGGAAUGGGAGAUUGGGAAAAGUGAGGAAUGGGAUUGGUGUGGGAGAGUUUGGGAUUUGUCAAGAAUGGGAUUGAUAUGGGAAUGGGAGAUUGGGGCUGUGAGGAGUGGGAUUGAUGUGGGGAAAGAGAGUUUGGGAGAAGUGAGGAAUGGAUUGAUGGGGAAAGGAGAUUUGGAAAAGUGAGGUACCUGUUGGAGGAGUGAGCCUCAGGAUUCCACUCGGGAUAUCUGUGGAUGACAAUGGGAAAAUGUCAGUGGAAAAGCCAAAAUGCCCAAGAAAAUGGGAUUUUUCCCAUAAAUAUUCCCAUUUUUCUGGAGAAAAUUCC
rnacentral:lncRNA from 12 species